rnacentral:misc_RNA from 1 species
UAUCACUGCGUCCCCCCGCCUCUGCCAACACGCACAAACGUCUCUGUGCUCAUCAGGUACACACGUGACAGACAGUAGCGGAUUAGGAACGGGAGGUGGCAUAGCGCUUGCCGGUGUAAUGCAAAGGAGUUGCCGGUCACCUCACCUCCUAUCCGGCUCCUCUCCCCCCCCCCCCCCCCCCAGGCAGGCACACAGGAUGCGGACCUUCGUCUUCAUCAGCGACAUCCCAGCCUUCCUACUGGAGCCUAUAAUCAAAGGUGAUAAGGACAGCAGUGGCGCCGCCGCGGCGGUGGUCUCGAAGUUCGACCUUCGCUAUGAACGCCUGCGCCGCCUGCUCGUGGAGCACUCGUCUGGCGUGAUGCUCGUCAUGCAUCUCGAGUCGAAGGGUUACGCGCUGGCCUUGUACGCCUCCGAGGGCGAGGCACUGGCAGCGUGUAAGGCGGAUAUCACUCCAGAGCAGCCGGGGCGCAAAUACCCGCCGUUGCGCCUGCGCAUCAUAGAGAAGGAGAAGCCCUGCCCACCGGAGCCCGUCUACAAGCCGUUCUUGAUGGUGGAGGGCGAGGAGGUGCGCAAGGAAGAGCUUGCUGAUACGCGCGGCCUGGAGCUUGUGUAUCGCGGCCGCGCGGUUGCUAAGUGGUGUGCGCGAACGCUGGCGGGCGAGGACUGCUUCUUCGGGGUCUCGUGCUUGAGGUUGCAUAAGGCCGAGGUGCAGAGGACAGUGCGCAAGCGGCCAAGAAUCGAGGAAGAUGAAGCCGGCGCUCGUCUGACCCGCGAACAGCAGGCAGUCGUGAGGCAUCUGCUCUCCUCAGCGGAGGCGGCGAGGGCAGCUCUAACGCCGGCUUCCAUGGCCAUGAAAGACUGCACGUACGUGCCGGUGUCAGCAGAAGAGGUGGAGCUGCUGAGCCAGCUCGCGUGCGAAGCGCCGUCGUCCGCGUCUUUGCCAGCGCUCGAGAAGCUGGAGGCUCACCCCACCUACCAGGCGGUUCUUCAGCGCAUCGACGAUGCCCUUCAGGCGCGGCGGGCCGCUGCUGCUGCUGCUGUCGCCGGCGAGUCCAUGGCGUUCUUUCCGCGACUGAGCUGCCCUGGCGGUGCGCCGUGGGACUGGAGUGUCGAGUCCGCGGACGGCCGGCGGCUUCUCCGUCAGCGGUGCCCGCUCCCGGCGAAUGGUGCACCCACGCCGCUGGAGCGCGAUGUGUACACGCAGCGCCUGUGGUACCACAUGAAUCAGUUGAACAGAUGCCACAGCGCGCGAGACGUGCUGCGGAUGUUGUGCGGCAGUCACCGCGUGCGGGAGGCGCUGCGUCGACGCAGUGAGGCGAUCGACAGUGGCGAGGCCCAAACACACGCGUUAUCCUCUCCUUUGCCGUCGUCGUCGUCGCCCGCCACGAGAGCGGCGGAGCUGACGAUUUGCCUGCAGCCGUGGCUGUACCUGCCUACCGUGGGCUGUGAGGUGACUGCGUAUCUUGAGCGCGGCGGGCGCCGGGUUCGCGGCGUUGUGCAGCGCUACGGACAGGUGCGCCUGAUGACAUCGGCCACACUUUUGGCUUCGGCGUCUGCCGUUGUGGGAGACGCCGCCAACACGGAUGCACUGCUCGCUCGGUACGCCGUCCUCGAGUCUGCGACCGAUGCAGCCGCCGAGGAGGACCUCGCCAGGGAGCUGCGCGCACUCCAGCGUAGCUUUGCCAGCGCCGUGGGCGAUGUUGCACUCCACCUGCAGACGCAUUCCGAUAGCAUUGGUGGUGACGGGGCCGCGUGGUGCGUGCAUCUGGCUGUGGUGCUGACGCCGAGCGUGGCUCCGGCGGCAGGGCCGCCGCCCCCCGUGGCGCUGCUCUCCGCCAGUCCGUAUCAGCGCGCCCUCGAGGAGUGUUCAAUGUACUCGUCUUUGGCGCCACCGAUCAGAGGGGACGAUACGGCCGCCUCGGCGGCGACAGCGCCUGCAAAGGUGGACGUGACGUGGAAUACGCAGCGGCACCCGUACAUCCCGCUCUUCAGCCGCAGUGUCUUGGAGAAGCUGCGCGCCGACGCAGUGUGAAAAAGGUCUGAGGAGGACCAGGGGGCUCAGCAAGCUGCGGUUCUACAAACGUGUGGGGGGCAGAGGAGGGGUGAGAUGGUGCUGACACGAAGGGAUGCGCGUGCAUCUCUUUGUGCCUGUGAGCUGUAAUCUUCGUUCUCCUGUGGCUUCCACUGCCCCCCUUCCUUUAU